CCUACGGGUGGCAGCAGUGAGGAAUAUUGGUCAAUGGACGCAAGUCUGAACCAGCCAUGCCGCGUGCAGGAAGACGGCUCUAUGAGUUGUAAACUUCUUUUGUACGGGGGUAAACGCAGAUACGCGUAUCUGUCUGAAAGUAUCGUACGAAUAAGGAUCGGCUAACUCCGUGCCAGCAGCCGCGGUAAUACGGAGGAUUCAAGCGUUAUCCGGAUUUAUUGGGUUUAAAGGGUGCGUAGGCGGUCUGAUAAGUUAGAGGUGAAAUCCCGAGGCUCAACUGCGGAAUUGCAGCUGAUACUGGCAGGCUAGAGAGUAGUAGAGGUAGGCGGAAUGUGUGGUGUAGCGGUGAAAUGCUUAGAGAUCAUGAAGAACACCGAUUGCGAAGGCAGCUUACCAAGCUACUACUGACGUUGAGGCACGAAAGCGUGGGGAGCAAACAGGAUUAGAUACCCGAGUAGUC
rnacentral:rRNA from 1 species